UUUUUUUUUUUUUUUUCUCCCCUUUUCCCCCCGGGGCUUCCCGUUUUUUUUUUUUUUUUUUCCUGAAGCUUUUUUUGGCUUUUUUUGGCCCAAAAAUUUAAAAAAAGGCACGGCGUUGGCGGGAGGUGUCCGUCCGUCCGUCCGUCCUUCUGUCCCUCCCCCUCGAUGGUCUCCAGCCCCUCCCCAACCCCCCAAAAAUGUUCCUCCUCCGUCUCCUUGUCCAUCUUCAUCCCCGUGUCCAUCUCCGUGUCCACCUUCAUCCCAACGUCCAUCUCUGUGUCCAUCUCUGUGUCCAUCUCUGUGUCCAUCUCUGUGUCCAUCUGUCCAUCCCUGUGUCCAUCUCCUUGUCCAUCUUCAUCCCAACGUCCGUCUGUCCAUCCAAAUGUCCUCCUUUCCAUCUCUGUGUCUGUCUGUCCAUCCCCACGUCCAUCUUCAUCUCCCUCUGUCCAUCCCAAUGUCCUCCUUUCCAUCCCCACGUCCAUCUCCUUGUCCAUCUUCAUCUCCACGUCCAUCUGUCCAUCCCCAUGUCCAUCUGUCCAUCCCCACGUCCAUCUCCUUGUCCAUCUUCAUCUCCACGUCCAUCUGUCCAUCUCUGUGUCCAUCUCUGUGUCCAUCUCCUUGUCCAUCUCCAUCCCCGUGUCCAUCUCUUCAUCCCCAUGUCCAUCCCCAUCUCUGUCUGUCCAUCCCAAUGUCCUCCUUUCCAUCCUCACGUCCAUCUCCUUGUCCAUCUUCAUCUUCAUGUCCAUCUGUCCAUCCCCACGUCCAUCUCCUCGUCCAUCUUCAUCUCCACGUCCAUCUCCUUGUCCAUCUCCAUCUCCACGUCCGUCUGUCCAUCCCUGUGUCCAUCUCCAUCCCCACGUCCAUCUUCAUCUCCAUCUGUCCAUCCCAAUGUCCUCCUUUCCAUCCCCGUGUCCAUCUGUCCAUCUCCAUCUUCAUCCCCAUCUCCAUCUCCUUGUCCAUCUUCAUCCCCACGUCCAUCUCCGUGUCCAUCUCCAUGUCCAUCUCCGUGUCCAUCUGUCCAUCCAAAUGUCCUUCUUUCCAUCCCCGUGUCCAUCUGUCCAUCCCCGUGUCCAUCUUCAUCCCAACGUCCGUCUGUCCAUCCCCGUGUCCAUCUCCGUGUCCAUCUGUCCAUCCAAAUGUCCUUCUUUCCAUCCCCGUGUCCAUCUGUCCAUCCCCGUGUCCAUCUUCAUCCCAACGUCCGUCUGUCCAUCCCCGUGUCCAUCUCCGUGUCCAUCUGUCCAUCCCCACGUCCAUCUUCAUCCCCGUGUCCAUCUGUCCAUCUCCAUCUUCAUCCCAACGUCCUUCUGUCCAUCUCUGUGUCCAUCUCCACGUCCAUCUCUUUGUCCAUCUCCAUCUCCACGUCCCUCUGUCCAUCUCUGUGUCCAUCUCUGUGUCCAUCUGUCCAUCCCCACGUCCAUCUCUGUGUCCAUCUUCAUCCCAACGUCCAUCUGUCCAUCUCCUUGUCCAUCUCCAUGUCCAUGUCCAUCUCCAUGUCCCUCUGUCCAUCCCCAUGUUCAUCUUCAUCCCCACGUCCAUCCCCGUGUCCCUCUGUCCGUCCCAAUGUCCUCCUUUCCAUCCCCACGUCCAUCUCCUUGUCCAUCUUCAUCUCCACAUCCCUCUGUCCAUCCCCAUGUUCAUCUUCAUCCCUGUGUCCAUCUCCACAUCCCUCUGUCCAUCCCCGUGUCCCUCAGUCCAUCCCCACGUCCAUCUCCGUGUCCAUCUGUCCAUCCCAGUGUCCUCCGUUCCAUCCCCGUGUCCAUCUUCAUCCCAAUGUCCCUCUGUCCAUCUCCGUGUCCAUCCCCGUGUCCAUCUGUCCAUCUCCAUCUUCAUCCCCACGUCCAUCUUCAUGUCCCUCUGUCCAUCCCCACGUCCAUCUCCAUCCCUGUGUCCAUCUCCAUGUCCGUCUGUCCAUCCCUGUCUCCAUCUUCAUCCCCGCGUCCAUCUUCAUCUCCAUCUGUCCAUCCCUGUGUCCAUCUUCAUCCCCACGUCCAUCCCCGUGUCCAUCUCCAUCUCCACGUCCGUCUGUCCAUCUCCUUGUCCAUCUCCAUCUUCAUCCCCGUGUCCAUCUGUCCAUCCAAAUGGCCUCCUUUCCAUCUCUGUGUCUGUCUGUCCAUCCCCACGUUCAUCUUCAUCCCCACGUCCAUCUUCAUCUCUGUCUGUCCAUCCCAAUGUCCUCCUUUCCAUCCCCACGUCCAUCUCCUUGGCCAUCUUCAUCUCCAUGUCCCUCUGUCCACCUCUGUGUCCAUCUCUGUGUCCAUCUCCAUGUCCGUCUGUCCAUCUCUGCGUCCAUCUGUCCAUCCCAAUGUCCUCCUUUCCAUCCCCACGUCCAUCUCCUUGUCCAUCUUCAUCUCCGUGUCCAUCUCCGUCUCCAUCCAAGGAACCUUCUGGCCCUUCCUGUGUCCAUCUGUCCAUCCCCGUGUCCACCAUCUCUGUGUCCAUCUCCAUGUCCGUCUGUCCAUCCCCACGUCCAUCCUCGUGUCCCUCUGUCCAUCCCCACGUCCAUCCUCGUGUCCCUCUGUCCAUCCCCACGUCCAUCCUCGUGUCCCUCUGUCCAUCCCCACGUCCAUCCUCGUGUCCCUCUGUCCAUCCCCAUCUCCAUCUAAGGGACCUUCUGUCCAUCCCCAUGUCCCUCUGUCCAUCCCCACGUCCAUCCUCGUGUCCCUCUGUCCAUCCUUGUGUCCGUCUUCAUCUCCAUGUCCAUCUCCAUGUCCAUCUGUCCAUCCAAAUGUCCUCCUUUCCAUCCCCGUGUCCAUCUCCAUCCCCACGUCCACCUCCAUGUCCAUCUGUCCAUCCCCGUGUCCACCAUCUCCAUGUCCAUCUCCGUCUGCAUCCAAGGGACCUUCUGGCCCUUCCUGUGUCCAUCUGUCCAUCUCCGUCUCCAUCCAAGGGACCUUCUGGCGUGUCCGUCUGUCCAUCUCCGUGUCCACCAUCUCUGUGUCCAUGUGUCCAUCCCCAUCUCCAUCCAAGGGACCUUCUGGCCUUUCCUGUGUCCAUCUGUCCAUCCUCGUGUCCAUCAUCUCCAUGUCCAUCUGUCCAUCCCCGUCUCCAUCCAAGGGACCUUCUGCCCAUCCCCGUGUCCAUCUGUCCAUCCUCGUGUCCAUCAUCUCCAUGUCCCUCUGUCCAUCCCCAUCUCCAUCUAAGGGACCUUCUGUCCAUCCUCGUGUCCAUCUGUCCAUCCUCGUGUCCACCAUCUCCAUGUCCAUCCCCAUCUCCAUCCAAGGCACCUUCUGUCCAUCCCCGUGUCCAUCUGUCCAUCCUCGUGUCCAUCAUCUCCAUGUCCGUCUGUCCACCCCCGUCUCCAUCCAAGGGACCUUCUGUCCAUCUCCGUGUCCACCAUCCCCGUGUCCAUCUGUCCAUCUCUGUCUCCAUCCAAGGGACCUUCUGUCCAUCCCCAUGUCCAUCUGUCCAUCUCCGUGUCCACCAUCCCCAUGUCCGUCUGUCCAUCUCUGUCUCCAUCAUUCCCAUGUCCAUCAUCUCCAUGUCCCUCUGUCCAUCCCCGUCUCCAUCCAAGGGACCUUCUGGCCCUUCCUGUGUCCAUCUGUCCAUCUCCGUGUCCACCAUCUCCGUGUCCAUGUGUCCAUCCCCAUCUCCAUCCAAGGGACCUUCUGGCCUUUCCUGUGUCCAUCUGUCCAUCCUCGUGUCCAUCAUCUCUGUGUCCAUCUGUCCACCCCCGUCUCCAUCCAAGGGACCUUCUGUCCAUCCCCAUGUCCAUCAUCUCCAUGUCCCUCUGUCCAUCCCUGUCUCCAUCCAAGGGACCUUCUGUCCAUCCCUGUGUCCAUCUGUCCAUCCCUGUGUCCAUCUGUCCAUCCUCGUGUCCAUCAUCUCCAUGUCCCUCUGUCCAUCCCCGUCUCCAUCCAAGGGACCUUCUGUCCAUCCCUGUGUCCACCAUCCCCACCUCCAUGUCCCCCCUCUCCCUCUAUCCAGGACCUCCCCAAAAAGAGGUCCCAGGUGUCCCCUCCCCCACCACCAAGUCCAGGAGAAAGGAUGACCCUGGGAGGCGGGUGGUGGUGGGGGAGGGGCCAGACAGAUGUUUUUGGGGGGGAGGGGCCAGAUGGACACCAUGAUGUCCCAGAAUAACCCGGUGGUGGGGGCGGCUUAAUUACCAGCUGCUAAUUUGGGAUGGAGAUCACGAGGUGGUGGAGGAGGUUGGUGGAGGUUGGCCAAGGGACCUUCUGUCCAUCCCUGUGUCCACCAUCCCCACCUCCAUGUCCCCCCUCUCCCUCUAUCCAGGACCUCCCCAAAAAGAGGUCCCAGGUGUCCCCUCCCCCACCACCAAGUCCAGGAGAAAGGAUGACCCUGGGAGGCGGGUGGUGGUGGGGGAGGGGCCAGACAGAUG
rnacentral:lncRNA from 1 species